rnacentral:misc_RNA from 1 species
GCAAACUUGGUCAUUUAGAGGAAGUAAAAGUCGUAACAAGGUUUCCGUAGGUGAACCUGCGGAAGGAUCAUUACCGAAUGACGUGUGCACCCUCUUGUGGUGGACCAGUCCACCACGUCUACAAUCAAAAAACCUGUCUUUGAAUGGUGGGUCGGAGCCCUUUCGUUGGGGUUGCCUCCCAGAGCACCUAAACAUAUGAACAUAACUUUCAACAACGGAUCUCUUGGCUCUCGCAUCGAUGAAGAACGCAGC